CAUAUAUAAGAUACAUGCCCAUUGCCCAUCCAUGCCGAGGCCUUUCAGUCUCAUGCAUGCACGCAGAUGCACCGAGAUGCAGCGCUCCAACUCCAAGCUAGCAACCAUGGAUCGAAGAAGGCCAGUGUCGGUGUGGUCCUCUCAUCUAGCUCGUCAGUUGAAGUCCUUGGUUAUGGCGGGGAUGCAGCUGGAGCUCCUGGCGAGCGCGGCGGCGGCGGCGGGGCGGGCGCCGCGGUCCCGGACCCGGGGGCUGUCGCACCUGGCGCCCCGCUUCCUGAGGAUCUGCCGCAUGGCCUCCGUCUGCAGGAGCACGGGGUUGGCGCGACCCAAGCGGUUGAACCGCCCGCACACGGCCAUGUGCGCCGCGAG
rnacentral:misc_RNA from 1 species